rnacentral:rRNA from 1 species
ACAGCAGUCGCCACGGGAAUACGGAGGGGGCUAGCGUUGUUCGGAAUUACUGGGCGUAAAGCGCACGUAGGCGGCUUGGUAAGUUAGAGGUGAAAGCCUGGAGCUCAACUCCAGAAUUGCCUUUAAGACUGCCGAGCUAGCAGGUGAGAGAGGUAAGUGGAAUUCCGAGUGUAGAGGUGAAAUUCGUAGAUAUUCGGAAGAACACCAGUGGCGAAGGCAAUCCCCUGGGCCUGUACUGACGCUCAUGCACGAAAGCGUGGGGAGCAAACAGGAUUAGAUACCCGCGUAGUCCCUGUCUCUUAUAC